rnacentral:rRNA from 1 species
UAGGGAAUCUUCGGCAAUGGACGGAAGUCUGACCGAACAACGCCGCGUGAGUGAAGAAGGUUUUCGGAUCGUAAAGCUCUGUUGUAAGAGAAGAACGAGUGUGAGAGUGGAAAGUUCACACUGUGACGGUAUCUUACCAGAAAGGGACGGCUAACUACGUGCCAGCAGCCGCGGUAAUACGUAGGUCCCGAGCGUUGUCCGGAUUUAUUGGGCGUAAAGCGAGCGCAGGCGGUUAGAUAAGUCUGAAGUUAAAGGCUGUGGCUUAACCAUAGUACGCUUUGGAAACUGUUUAACUUGAGUGCAAGAGGGGAGAGUGGAAUUCCAUGUGUAGCGGUGAAAUGCGUAGAUAUAUGGAGGAACACCGGUGGCGAAAGCGGCUCUCUGGCUUGUAACUGACGCUGAGGCUCGAAAGCGUGGGGAGCAAACAGGAUUAGAUACCCUGGUAGUCCACGCCGUANCGAUGAGUGCUAGGUGUUAGACCCUUUCCGGGGUUUAGUGCCGCAGCUAACGCAUUAAGCACUCCGCCUGGGGAGUACGACCGCAAGGUUG